GUGAGGAACACGUAAGAAUCUACCCUCCACUUUGGGAUAACUCCGGGAAACCGGUGCUAAUACCGAAUAUUGAAACAUAAGUGGCAUCGCUGAGUUUUGAAAGAAUUUCGGUGGAGGAUGACUUCGCGGCCUAUCAGCUAGUUGGUGAGGUAAUGGCUCACCAAGGCUACGGCGGGUAACCGGCCUGAGAGGGCGAACGGUCACACUGGGACUGAGACACGGCCCAGACUCC
rnacentral:rRNA from 1 species